GAAGCCAGUUGAUGAAGAUAUCAAUUGAAUGGCCACCGACUGCAGCACUGCUACCUGAACCCAUCAGUUAUCUGCUGUGAAGACUGCAUUCACAAACCGCUCUACUGCGACAGCUCAGAUGUUACGGCCCGUAAAAGUAAACAUCACAGCUAAACAACGAGAGCUAGUUGUGGGGGGAUUCUUUUGGCCCAUAUCCCCAACAAGAAUCAAUGACAUCUACACCAGGUGGAGUAUGAGGAGGACUGUCAGAGACUCCAGCCAGCCGAGCCAUGGAUUGCUCUCACCCUUACCAUCAGGCAGACGUUAUCACAGAACCUACACCAGCAGACAGUGAGACAAGUUCCUUUCACAGGCAAUCAGACUGAACUGAACUCAUACCAGUAAAACCAUA